rnacentral:rRNA from 1 species
GAUCAAGUCCAUGACGGAAGCAACUGUUACAUAUGCUGUAAAAGACUAUAAAAACAAAGGUCAGUGGAAAGAGAAAACAGUUCCGGGCGAGGAAUUCAUCCGUCGAUUUUUAAUGCAUGUUCCUCCAAAACGUUUUGUCAGAAUCCGGCACUAUGGUUUGCUGUCGUGCCGAAACAAGAGCAAAAAGAUGACGCACUGUAGAAAUCUGCUUGGAUGUAAAAAAUAUAUUUCUGCAUUGAAAAAUCGAAAUGCCGCUGAAAUGAUAAAGCUGCUAUAUAACAUCGAUGUAUGGAGGUGUUCUUCCUGUGGAGGAAAAAUGGUUCCACAUCUUCCAGAUAAGCAUACACCAUCUGUUUUAGUGCAUAUGAGAUGUUAAAAUAUACAACUGAAUACUUCAAAAAACUUCCGCAAAGGGAGUUUGUUUGUCAUGCCUAAAAAUAAUUCUUUUGGCACUCCCGUGAGACCGAUAGCGAACGAGUACUGUGAAGGAAAGGUGAAAAGAACCCCGAGCAGGGGAGUGAAAUAGUUCCUGAAACCAUACGCCUACAAGCGGUCGGAGCACAGCAAUGUGUGACGGCGUGCCUUUUGCAUAAUGAUCCUACGAGUUACCGUCACUGGCGAGGUUGAGUGUCACGAGACACGUAGCCGCAGUGAAAGCGAGCCUGAAUAGGGCGCACAGUCAGUGGGGGUAGACGCGAAACCAAGUGAUCUACACUUGGCCAGGAUGAAGUCCCGGUAACACGGGAUGGAGGUCCGCACCAAUAAGCGUUGAAAAGCUUCUGGAUGAGCCGAGUGUAGGAGUGAAAGGCCAAUCAAACUUGGAGAUAGCUCGUACUCCCCGAAAGGCAUUUAGGUGCCGCGUCGGAUGGUCACCGUGAGAGGUAGAGCGACCGAUAGGACAAGAGGGCUUCACCGCCUAUCGAGUCCUGACGAACUCCGAAUGCUCACGGUCUGCAGUCCGGCAGUAAGGGGGCGGGUGCUAAGGUCCGUCCCCGAGAGGAGAAGAAUCCAGACCGCCGUCUAAGGUCCCGGAGUUCUGCCUGAGUUAGUCUAACGAAGUCUGGUCCCUAUGACAGCUAGGAUGUUGGCUUGGAAGCAGCCAUUCAUUCAAAGAGUGCGUAACAGCUCACUAGUCGAGGGUCCGGGCAUGGAUAAUAAUCGGGUAUAAGGCAGACACCGAAGGCGCGGGAUAGCAAUUAUAAAAGUAUCGGUAGGGGAGCAUACUCACAGCGUCGAAUGGUGUACGUAAGUUAUCCUGGAGCGGUGAGUAAAGCAAAUGUAGGAAUAAGUAACGAUAAGGAGGGUUAGAUUCCCUCCCGCUGUAAGACCAAGGUUUCCCGGGCAAUGCCAAUCAGCCCGGGGUCAGUCGGGUCCUAAGUCUAAGCCGAACGGCGAUGGCGAUGGCAGAGACGGUUAAUAUUCCGUCACUGCCGCAUGGGGCGACGUGGAGACGGAGCAGUGAAACCACCGCGGGGCGACGGAAGUCCCCGUUGAAGGGUGUAGGCGUUGAGGAUGGCAGGCAAAUCCACCGUCCGAGCUGAACCUGACAGUACGGAGUCCUCCUCGGAGGAAUCUGAUAGUGUGGGUAAUCAUACUCCCGAGAAAAUCCGCUAAGCUUAACCCAUGCGGCACCCGUACCGCAAACGGACACACGUGGUCGGGUAGAACAUACUAAGGCGUUGAGAGAUUCAUGGUUAAGGAACUAGGCAAAUUGACCCUGUAACUUCGGGAUAAAGGGUCCUCGUGAUGAGCGAGGCGCAGAGAAUAGGUCCAGGCAACUGUUUAACAAAAACACAGGGCUGUGCAAACUCGAAAGAUGACGUAUACAGCCUGACACCUGCCCGGUGCCGGAAGGUUAAGAGGAGAUGUCACUCGCAAGAGGAAGCAUUGAAUUGAAGCCCCGGUAAACGGCGGCCGUAACUAUAACGGUCCUAAGGUAGCGAAAUUCCUUGUCGGGUAAGUUC